rnacentral:rRNA from 1 species
CCUACGGGGCGCAGCAGUGAGGAAUAUUGGUCAAUGGACGAGAGUCUGAACCAGCCAAGUAGCGUGAAGGAUGACUGCCCUAUGGGUUGUAAACUUCUUUUAUAAAGGAAUACAACGAGGCACGUGUGCCUUUUUGCAUGUACUUUAUGAAUAAGGAUCGGCUAACUCCGUGCCAGCAGCCGCGGUAAUACGGAGGAUCCGAGCGUGAUCCGGAUUUCUUGGGUUUAAAGGGAGCGUAGAUGGGUUGUUAAGUCAGUUGUGAAAGUUUGCGGCUCAACCGUAAAAUUGCAAUUGAUACUGGAAGUGUUGAGGACAGUUGAGGUAGGCGGAAUUCGUGGUGUAGCGGUGAAAUGCUUAGAUAUCACGAAGAACCCCGAUUGCGAAGGCAGCUUACUAAACUGUGACUGACAUUGAUGCUCGAAAGUGUGGGUAUCAAACAGGAUUAGAUACCCGGGUAGUC